UGUAAGCGUAUACCAAAGUUGUUGCAGUUAAAACGCUCGUAGUCGGAAUUUGGCAGUUCCGGAUGUGUGCACGUCGUGUGCGCACUUCGCGGGGAUUGCUUUUGUGGUCUUGCGUAGGAUGAGGCACUUUUAUUAGUGAACGUCCUCACGCAACCACUUUUUACUGUGAGAAAAUCAGAGUGCUCAAAGCAGGCAUUUGCCGUGAAUGUAUCAGCAUGGAAUAAUAGAAUAGGACUUGGUUCUAUUUUGUUGGUUUGUUGGGACUGAGUAAUGAUUAAGAGGGACAGUUGGGGGCAUUUGUAUUUCGGUGCUAGAGGUGAAAUUCUUAGAUUACCGAAAGACAAACUGCUGCGAAAGCGUCUGCCAAGGAUGUUUUCAUUGA
rnacentral:rRNA from 1 species